GAUGAAGAACGUAGCGAAAUGCGAUAAGUAAUGUGAAUUGCAGAAUUCAGUGAAUCAUCGAAUCUUUGAACGCACAUUGCGCCCCCUGGUAUUCCGGGGGGCAUGCCUGUUCGAGCGUCAUUUCACCACUCAAGCCUCGCUUGGUAUUGGGCAACGCGGUCCGCCGCGUGCCUCAAAUCGACCGGCUGGGUCUUCUGUCCCCUAAGCGUUGUGGAAACUUUCGCUAAAGGGUGUUCGGGAGGCUACGCCGUAAAACAACCCCAUUUCUAAGGUUGACCGCGGAUCAGGUAGGGAUACCCGCUGAACUUUAGCAUAUCAAUACGCGGAGGA
rnacentral:misc_RNA from 1 species